rnacentral:rRNA from 2 species
UCGAACGAUGAAACUUAAAUGAUUUCUUCGGAAUGAACUUAAGUGGAUUAGUGGCGGACGGGUGAGUAACGCGUGAGUAACCUGCCUUACACAAGGGGAUAGCCGUUGGAAACGACGAAUAAUACCCUAUGAAACUAUCACUUCGCAUGAAACGAUAGUCAAAGUGUUAGCGGUGUAAGAUGGACUUGCGUCUGAUUAGCUAGUUGGUGAGAAAAAAGCCCACCAAGGCAACGAUCAGUAGCCGGCUUGAGAGAGUGUACGGCCACAUUGGGACUGAGACACGGCCCAGACUCCUACGGGAGGCAGCAGUGGGGAAUUUUGCACAAUGGGGGAAACCCUGAUGCAGCGACGCCGCGUGAUUUAGAAGGCCUUCGGGUUGUAAAAAUCUUUUGUAUAGGAAGAAAAUGACAGUACUAUACGAAUAAGGUCCGGCUAAUUACGUGCCAGCAGCCGCGGUAAUACGUAAGGACCGAGCGUUGUCCGGAAUCAUUGGGCGUAAAGGGUACGUAGGCGGGUCAUUAAGUUAGAAGUCAAAGGCUAUAGCUCAACUAUAGUAAGCUUCUAAAACUGGAGACCUUGAGUAAUGGAAGGGAAAGUGGAAUUCCUAGUGUAGCGGUGGAAUGCGCAGAUAUUAGGAGGAAUACCGGUGGCGAAGG